rnacentral:tRNA from 1 species
GGAUUGUGGCUCAGUGGUAGAGCGCUCGCCUAGCACACACGGGCCCCUGGGUUUGAUCCUCAGCACCA